AGUGAACGCUGGCGGUAGGCCUAACACAUGCAAGUCGAACGGCAGCACAGGAGAGCUUGCUCUCUGGGUGGCGAGUGGCGGACGGGUGAGGAAUACAUCGGAAUCUACCUUUUCGUGGGGGAUAACGUAGGGAAACUUACGCUAAUACCGCAUACGACCUACGGGUGAAAGUGGGGGACCGCAAGGCCUCACGCGAUUAGAUGAGCCGAUGUCCGAUUAGCUAGUUGGCGGGGUAAUGGCCCACCAAGGCGACGAUCGGUAGCUGGUCUGAGAGGAUGAUCAGCCACACUGGAACUGAGAAACGGUCCAGACUCCUACGGGAGGCAGCAGUGGGGAAGAUUGGACAAUGGGCGCAAGCCUGAUCCAGCCAUACCGCGGUGGUGAAGAAGGCCUUCGGGUUGUAAAGCCCUUUUGUUGGGAAAGAAAUCCUAUCGGUUAAUAACCGGUGGGGAUGACGGUACCCAAAGAAUAAGCACCGGCUAACUUCGUGCCAGCCGCCGCAGUAACAC
rnacentral:rRNA from 1 species